UUUCCGUAGGUGAACCUGCGGAAGGAUCAUUACAGAGUUCAUGCCCUCACGGGUAGAUCUCCCACCCUUGAAUAUUUACACCUUAGUUGCUUUGGCAGGCCGUGGAAACACCAUGGGCUCCGGCUUAUGCGUGCCUGCCAGAGGAAACAAGCUCUGUUUUUAGUGAUGUCUGAGUACUAUAUAAUAGUUAAAACUUUCAACAACGGAUCUCUUGGUUCUG
rnacentral:misc_RNA from 1 species